rnacentral:lncRNA from 1 species
UCCCUCAUAAUAUUUGCAAAGUGGUAGCAUCCAACAACUUGAUUGGUCCAAUCAAGAUAAUUUUACACUGCCCAAUGGGUAUGGGUUAGGAUCCAUUCAUCGGGAUUCAUCAAAGUCAUUAAAAGAAAAUCCCUUUAUCAAGGUCAACUCAAAUUUAAAGCAAUAAGGCUUAAUACCCUUCAAUGGAUUUACAAAUUAAGUAGCAAGAGAAUGAUGAAGAAGAAGAAAGAGAAACUAAGAGGAUGAA